UUGGCACCUCGAUGUCGGCUCAUCGCAUCCUGGGGCUGAAGAAGGUCCCAAGGGUUUGGCUGUUCGCCAAUUAAAGCGGUACGCGAGCUGGGUUUAGACCGGCGUGAGCCAGGUCGGUCCCUAUCCGGUGUGGGUGUAGGAGAAUUGAGCGGAUCUGCCCCUAGUACGAGAGGAUUGGGGUGGACGAACCUCUGGUGUUCCAGUUGUCGCGCUAGCGGCACAGCUGGGUAGCUAUGUUCGGAAAGGAUAAACGCUGAAAGCAUAUAAGCGUGAAGCCCACCGCGAGACUAAUUCUCCCCAUUAGGGCCGUGGAAGACGACCACGUUGAUAGGCCAGGUGUGUAAGCACGGUAACGUGUUGAGCUGACUGGUACUAAUAGCCCGAUUGGCUUGACCAUUUUUCAU
rnacentral:rRNA from 1 species